rnacentral:rRNA from 1 species
GACGAACGCUGGCGGCGUGCCUAAUACAUGCAAGUCGAACGGUCUUUUCUAUGAAAGCUUGCUUUCACUGAGAAGAUAGUGGCGGACGGGUGAGUAACACGUGGGUAACCUGCCCAUAAGAGGGGGAUAACAUCCGGAAACGGGUGCUAAUACCGCAUAGUUUUCUUGGUCACAUGACUGAGAAAGGAAAGACGGCCUUUGUGCUGUCGCUUAUGGAUGGACCCGCGGCGUAUUAGUUAGUUGGUGAGGUAAUGGCUCACCAAGACGAUGAUACGUAGCCGACCUGAGAGGGUGAUCGGCCACAUUGGGACUGAGACACGGCCCAAACUCCUACGGGAGGCAGCAGUAGGGAAUCUUCCGCAAUGGACGAAAGUCGGACGGAGCAACGCCGCGGGAGUGAAGAAGGUUUUGGGAUCGUAAAACUC